AACCAAACAAAAAACACGACGCUGGCGGCAUGCCAAUACAUUCAAGUCGAACGAGAUCUUCGGAUCUAGUGGCGCACGGGUGCGUACCUGGGAAUCUGCCCUUGGGUUCGGAAUAACUUCUGGAAACGGAAGCUAAUACCGGAUGAUGACGUAAGUCCAAAGAUUUAUCGCCCAAGGAUGAGCCCGCGUAGGAUUAGGUCGUUGGUGAGGUAAAGGCUCACCAAGCCGACGAUCCUUAGCUGGUCUGAGAGGAUGAUCAGCCACACUGGGACUGAGACACGGACCAAACUCCUACGGGAGGCAGCAGUAGGGAAUAUUGGACAAUGGGCGAAAACCUGAUCCAGCAAUGCCGCGUGAGUGAUGAAGGCCUUAGGGUUGUAAAGCUCUUUUACCCGGGAUGAUAAUGACAGUACCGGGAGAAUAAGCUCCGGCUAACUCCGUGCCAGAAGACGCGGUAAUACGGAGGGAGCUAACGUUGUUCGGAAUUACUGGGCGUAAAGCGCACGUAGGCGGAUAUUCCAAGUCAGAAGUGAAAGCCCCGGGGCUUCAACCCGGGAACUGCCUUUGAAACUUGAUUACCUUGAAUCCCAGGAAAAAGUAAGGUGGACUUACCCAGUUGUAGACGGUGAAAUUCGGAAAAAUUCGGAAAGAACACCAAGUGGGGAAAGCGAGUCCCAGAACUUGCG
rnacentral:rRNA from 1 species